CGGCCUGCGCAGACGAAUGCUGUGGGUAUCUUCCCAGCAGCCAGACCCCACAGACUGGCUGUUGCCGGGGUGGUCUUUAUUUGGUAAUCACGUCACAGCCAGCAGAGAUUCCUGAUUAUUUGUACCCAAAUUACUCAGUAUUUUCAAUUUGAUAUCCUUUUUAAGCUCAGAAAAGCAGCUUAAAAGAAGAAUGCUUUUUGAAGAGUUCCUCAGGGAGGGGUAUUUGUGUAUUCAUUUCACCGUUUUCCCUCAGUUGUACUGCAUCACAGGCCCCCAGGAUCCCCCGCUGCCCGUGACACAGCCAUGUCCCUUUAUUUCUCAUGGUUAGCCAGGGCCUGCGCCGGCCCCCUGGCCUCUUGUCAUCCUCCACAGAGGUUUAGUUGGCAGUUUCUUCCCCCGGCACUCCCACCUGACAGAGGCUGGGCAGCACCUGCUUUUGAAAGACUCUGCAGUGGUGGACGCCUCACGGCCGGGGCAGGUACAGUGAGGACACAGACGCCUGGGCAGUGCCGGCCCAGUCCUCCCACCUCCUGCGUCAGGACAGGGCUGUCUGGCUCUCAGUGGCAGCCCCUGGUGGAGCCUCAGCUGGUCACUCGAGCUGCGCGGUGAACUUGGGCCCGUUCAAAACUCUGCCUGGCCCCGGCCUCCCUGAUCUUGCGCUCUCAUCUCCUUCCGUGCAUUUCCCCUAGACAGUGGAGUCCUGUAGUUCUUCCUGGAUGGAACUUUUCAUCCUUCCUCUAAUUCUUUAUUCUGUCUGGACCACAGUGACUAGGAUCAAGUUAACUAUAAGCUGGGAGGCCUGGGCCCUGGGAGGUCAUCGGCCUUGUCCCUCAGAGGCUGGACAUGUGUCUUGGGGAGCCUUUCAGACAGCCUGUCUGCGGAAGCGCUGACCUCAGCAGUAAUGUGAUUCAUUUCCGGACACCGUUUCUUCUUCAGGAUAGCUGCUGCUGCCAUUACGGAUGCAGGGGCCUUUCAUCUCCGUUUCCUGUAUUGAUUCUGUUUCUCAGGGGUUGGUUCUGCUUGUCGAGUGCGUGUGUCUUUUUCUUGCUUUUGUUUUCCUUAAAUGUGUAUUGAUCCUUGGUUGUCAGUUUACAUUUAUGAAAGGGGAUCUAGUGUGUGCGGUGUUACUGAAGAGGCUGUAUGUAUCCUUAGCCCCAGUGACAACCUGUUCUCCUGGUCCUCAGCACACACUCGUCAGAGGUGCUCUGCCCUGGGUGUGGCACGUGGCGGGGGUGUUUGUGGGCAGCUUGUCUCCUGAGUCCAGAGGCUCGCUGUCUGCAUUGUGGCCGUGAAUGACACGGGACACUUGUCCUACCUUGCCCCGAGUCUGCUUUUCCAGGUGGGAGAUCCCCUUUGCGGGAAGCUGUGGUGCCAGCCUGUGGCAGCUUCCCCGGUCUGGUGAGCUCACCUGUGACACCCGCCUACUGCCCUUCGCAGGCCCCCGCCUGAUGGCAGGCUGACCACAUGCCCCCUGAGCGCCCCCGCUCUCACCGGGCCCCCUGCCACCUGGAAGACGGGUGCCCUGAACCCCUGGGAGCCACGCUGUCUGUCCACUUUCUGUCCCACCGAAGCGCUUCACUGGGUGGUCCCCACAGGGCGUUCCUUGUGGCUUUUCUAGGUAUAGGUUUAUUUAUAAACGUAAAGAACUUUUCUUUUGACAGAACCAUUUAUGUUUAUUGUUGGAAAAUAAGAAAAUAACACAUAAAGCAAAUAAAAGAAAAUUGCUUAUUCACAAAA